GAUGAACGCUGACAGAAUGCUUAACACAUGCAAGUCUACUUGAAUUUGGGUUUUUUAACUUCGAUUUGGGUGGCGGACGGGUGAGUAACGCGUAAAGAACUUGCCUCACAGCUAGGGACAACAUUUGGAAACGAAUGCUAAUACCUGAUAUUAUGAUUAUAAGGCAUCUUAGAAUUAUGAAAGCUAUAUGCGCUGUGAGAGAGCUUUGCGUCCCAUUAGCUAGUUGGAGAGGUAACGGCUCACCAAGGCGAUGAUGGGUAGCCGGCCUGAGAGGGUGAACGGCCACAAGGGGACGGAGACACGGCCCUUACUCCUACGGGAGGCAGCAGUGGGGAAUAUUGGACAAUGGACCAAGAGUCUGAUCCAGCAAUUCUGUGUGCACGAUGACGUUUUUCGGAAUGUAAAGUGCUUUCAGUUGGGAAGAAAAAAAUGACGGUACCAGCAGAAGAAGUGACGGCUAAAUACGUG
rnacentral:rRNA from 1 species